ACUUGUUGCUAUGGGCACCAUUAUCACUGGAUUCCAUUCCUUGUGUAAUGUCAAGAAUGUGCUUUAUUUCUUACUCCCGCUCCGCAAUUACAAGCAGAUGCAGAGACAGAUUAGCCAAUCAAAUAAGUGCUAUUAUCUUCCUGAUUUGCCACUGCCAUGCACUGUUUUACUCUCAGGAACAUGAGCAAAUGUAAUGAGGAUUCCUGUAGGACAUUAUCUUUUGAGAAUGGAAAAUAAAACCCUUCUGUGCAGCGAAGUUUAGAAGAGUUAAAAUAACAGAUUUAGCUUCCUUGGUAGCUGAAGCUUUGGGGAUUGAAAAAUGCUUGCUGUGUGUGUGUGUUGCUUGCAAGCGAGUCACUGUUUCCUUGGCUACCACAACAAACGAGGCCACAGGCAGGCACUGGAGCCAGAAGAAAGAUAAGCUCUGAACUCUACUUGGCAAUUCCAAAGUGUGCGGAAAGAGCAACAGGGACAAAAAGUGGAAAACGGCAAGGUAUUUUGUAUGGGCAGAUCUAGCGGAGACAUUUCUGUUUCUUUACCAUCUCCAAUGAGGAAACCAUGCCUAUUUCUUCAGGGGCCCAGGGACAGGUUGGAUUUGGAGUCGACACAUCCAUUCAAUGGCAUCCCAAAGGAGAUCAAAAACUCUCUAGGCCACUAUAUUUCAAGGUCGACUCCUAUCGCCAGAGAUACUUACGCUGCCACCCUGAAGCCAAAAUCAGAUGUUUCACCCAGCACUCGGAAGUGAAAAGACAGUGGGGGAAAAAUCAUCCAGAAUGCGCAGCACCCCAGAGUGGAAACGGUUUAACCAUUCCAGCUACCAAAAGUACAUUGCUUACCAGUGGAAAAACCGAAGACACAAGCUGCAGAAGGAAAGAUGGCAUUUCCAGAUUCUCUCUUUGUACCCUACUAUAAUCUUAUGAGAAUAUCAUGAAAUAGAAACUAUAUUUGAUAUUACAUUUAUUUAAAAUGGAGAUAAAAAAGAAGUCAUACUUCGAAAGCUCUCCUAGAUAGCUAUAUGUUUUCUGAAGUUUGUACGCUAGGGUUACCAGAUGUCCCUAUUUCCCAGGGACAGUCCCUGGAUUUGCAAAUCUGUCCCCAGACAAAUUCCGUCCCGAAAUGUCCUCAGAUUUGCAAAUCUGUCUCCAGAAAAUGUGCCAGUGGCAGGCUCAGCAGCCCGGAGCCAGCCUGGUAGUGCAGUUGGCUCUGGCUGGCCAUUUUUCUUCUCCGGAAGUCCCCAUAUUAUGUGUCUUGUGCGCAACACAUCAUAUGGGGACUUCUGGAGAGGAAAAAUGACAGGCACCGCGGCAGCG